UGGCCGAAGUGGGAACCUUCUAGAGGUAGUGUUUUCUCUGCUGUAAUGGGAUAACUUGGCAGUUAUCCCAGCGUGAUGUUCCUUAAUUGUUGUGGGAUCAAAUGAGUACCACGUGUGAAAGAGCUUUCUGAUCUGAGGUGAGAGGUACAGGUGAGGUGAGAGGCAAGGGUGAGGCACAGGUAAGGUUAAUCACAGGCAUGGGAUUUCUUCAGUGUGUUCAUGGUGAUGCUUUCCAUCUGCUCCAGUUUCUGUAAAGCACUAGUUUAGGAGGAUUUCAACAAGUACCACGUGAUCUUUGGUAUAAAACUGUGAACAGGCUCCUCCAUCUUGACUCCCUCCGUGAUAAAACCCACUCCUCCAAAAUUGCACCAGCAUGAUAUUACUCUUGGAGAUGGCUUGUCUGCACACAUUCAGCAUUGUCCUGUUAAUCAUGAAGUUUUCAAUCACUCAGAAGCCAGUUGGGUUCAGCCAAAGGGAAGCACCAACAGAAAUUUGAAGAAUGGGAAGAAAGAAAUUAGAAUACUCCUUGGGCUUCCUUUCUGUGGAGGACAGAGUGAGAAGGCUGCUGUCUACUGGCUAAGGAAGAAGGCCUGCAUCAGGAACUGAAUCUGCUAUCAUCUUGAUCUUGGACUUUCCAGCCUUCAGAAAUAUGAGAAAUAAAUAUCUGCUAUUUAAACUUCCCAGUCACGGGGCGCCUGGGUGGCGCAGUCAGUUAAGCGUCUGACUUCAGCCAGGUCACGA